rfam:Gossypium raimondii Chr08_contig_757, whole genome shotgun sequence.
UACUAAAAUUUCAUCCAUAUGUAUUGUUAAAAACUAACAUGGUUGCCGGAAUAACCAAAUAAUGACAUGAUGCGUGCAACAUGUACCUCAUACUGAUGUAAAGGGACAAGUUUUUAAUAGUAGAAAUAGAGAAAAUUUUGAACA